AUAUCAAUAAGCGGAGGAAAAGAAACCAACCGGGAUUGCCUCAGUAACGGCGAGUGAAGCGGCAAGAGCUCAAAUUUGAAAGCUGGCCCCUCCGGGGUCCGCGUUGUAAUUUGCAGAGGAUGCUUUGGGUGCGGCCCCCGUCUAAGUGCCCUGGAACGGGCCGUCAGAGAGGGUGAGAAUCCCGUCUUGGGCGGGGUGUCCGUGCCCGUGUAAAGCUCCUUCGACGAGUCGAGUUGUUUGGGAAUGCAGCUCUAAAUGGGUGGUAAAUUUCAUCUAAAGCUAAAUACUGGCCGGAGACCGAUAGCGCACAAGUAGAGUGAUCGAAAGAUGAAAAGCACUUUGAAAAGAGAGUUAAACAGCACGUGAAAUUGUUGAAAGGGAAGCGCUUGCGACCAGACUCGCCCUCGGGGUUCAGCCGGCACUCGUGCCGGUGUACUUCCCCGGGGGCGGGCCAGCGUCAGCUUGGGCGGCCGGUCAAAGGCCUCCGGAAUGUAGUGCCCCCCGGGGCACCUUAUAGCCGGAGGUGCAAUGCGGCCAGCCUGGGCUGAGGAACGCGCUUCGGCACGGACGCUGGCAUAAUGGUCGCAAACGAC
rnacentral:rRNA from 1 species